CGGGUGAGUAAUGUCUGGGAAACUGCCUGAUGGAGGGGGAUAACUGCUGGAAACGGUAGCUAAUACCGCAUAACGUCGCAAGACCAAAGAGGGGGACCUUCGGGCCUCUUGCCAUCGGAUGUGCCCAGAUGGGAUUAGCUAGUAGGUGGGGUAACGGCUCACCUAGGCGACGAUCCCUAGCUGGUCUGAGAGGAUGGCUAGCCACACUGGGACUGAGACACGGUCCAG
rnacentral:rRNA from 1 species